UGGGGAAUUUUGGACAAUGGGCGAAAGCCUGAUCCAGCAAUGCCGCGUGUGUGAAGAAGGCCUUCGGGUUGUAAAGCACUUUUGUCCGGAAAGAAAUCCUUGGCUCUAAUACAGUCGGGGGAUGACGGUACCGGAAGAAUAAGCACCGGCUAACUACGUGCCAGCAGCCGCGGUAAUACGUAGGGUGCAAGCGUUAAUCGGAAUUACUGGGCGUAAAGCGUGCGCAGGCGGUUUGCUAAGACCGAUGUGAAGUCCCCGGGCUCAACCUGGGAACUGCAUUGGGUGACUGGCAGGCUAGAGUAUGGCAGAGGGGGGUAGAAUUCCACGUGUAGCAGUGAAAUGCGUAGAGAUGUGGAGGAAUACCGAUGGCGAAGGCAGCCCCCUGGGCCAAUACUGACGCUCAUGCACGAAAGCGUGGGGAGCAAACAGGAUUAGAUACCCUGGUAGUCCACGCCCUAAACGAUGUCAACUAGUUGUUGGGGAUUCAUUUCCUUAGUAACGUAGCUAACGCGUGAAGUUGACCGCCUGGGGAGUACGGUCGCAAGAUUAAAACUCAAAUGAAUUGACGGGGUCAUAGCUGUUUCCU
rnacentral:rRNA from 1 species